rnacentral:rRNA from 1 species
AGACAGGUGCUGCAUGGCUGUCGUCAGCUCGUGUCGUGAGAUGUUGGGUUAAGUCCGCAACGAGCGCAACCCUUGCCUUUAGUUGCCAGCAGUUCGGCUGGGCACUCUAAAGGGACUGCCGGUGUUAAACCGGAGGAAGGUGGGGGAGUGACGUCAAGUCCUCAUGGCCUUUAUGACCAGGGCUACACACGUACUACAAUGGCCGAUACAAAGGGCAGCGACACUGCGAGGUGAAGCCAAUCCCGUAAAAUCGGUCUCAGUCCGGAUUGGAGUCUGCAACUCGACUCCAUGAAGUUGGAAUCGCUAGUAAUCGUGAAUCAGAAUGUCACGGUGAAUACGUUCCCGGGCCUU